UAGGGAGACCUAAUCCAUUUAGAAAUCGAAAACAAUGAAAAUUGUCAAUAGAAACUAAAUUGGUCUAACCUAGGUCGUUCGAGAUUGGUAGACAUCUUUCAAAGUAUUAUUCGGCUUCGUUCAAAACCAUAUAUAAUAAAUGGAAAAAGACAGCACCUAAUUGUCAAAGUUAGACUGCUGGAUGAAAUUCCAGCCAGAACCUUGAAAACUGCAUAAGAGAACAAGAAAAAGCAGGCAGACACAGACAUUUAGAUGGAUGUGGAAGCAAAAGAAAUUGU
rnacentral:misc_RNA from 1 species